CCCGACACCCCCAGGCUCAUCUCAUCCCCGGGAACCGAAGGCACCUCUUUCGAAGCGAGGGGAAAAAAGGGGAAAGCAAGCAAGGGCCGCGCAGGGACUCUUCGGAAUUGCAACAGGAAGGCUACACGGACCCUGGGAAAGAUGAGGAGGAUUUCACCAGGUGGCCAAGGGAAGAAUGAUAUUCCAGAAGGAGGAGAAACUAGCUCAGCCGGAAGAGGGGCGAUAGCCAUCAUGGAUGCGGAUAAGAAGCCAAGUCUGCUCCGGACAGCAGCCAAGCCCUCCCAGCUGCCCAUCCAGUCCCUCCACCAGGCUCUGCAACCAGGAGGACAUUCGAAUGAAAUAGAGGACAGUCACCAUGCCUCAGGCAGGGUAGUCUUGUGUUCUGUUGGUGACUUCACAGGAAACUGACUUCUCUGAAGAAGGUGGAGGAGAGGGGACAGAGGUACCUUGAUGUGAAUAUACAGCCAAAGUGGUCCUCUGCUUCCAGCCCUUGCUCAAAGGACUUGGAAACUCAAGGAAUCUGCUCCCAGCCAUGGACUUUCACAUUUGCCUGCAGCAAAAGGCUGGUGGGCAGCCAGGCACGGUGGUACAAGCCUGUAAUCCCGGGAACUUGGGAGGUUGAAGAUAGAAGGACAGCAAGU